rnacentral:rRNA from 1 species
UCUCACAGAUUUAGCCAUGCAUGUGUAAGCGAAGCUUUAGUGGAGCGGUGAAAGGCUCAUUAACGGGCGAUUUAUUUGUUCUCCUGUGACGGACAACAUCGGGAAACUGAUGGGAAAACGUCUAAGUUGCAGUUAAUUGAUUGUGACGUAAACGAUUUUGUGCAGGAGAGUAAGAUGCCAUCCUAUCAGUUAGUAAGUAGGGUAAGGGCCUACUUAGACGAAGACGGGUACGGGGAAUGAGGGUUUGAUUCCGGAGAGGGAGCCUGAGAGAUGGCUACCAGGACCAAGGUCAGCAGCAGGCGCGAAAAUUAUCGAAGCCCGCCUAGGGGCGAUAGUGAGGAGACGUGUAUAACGAAGUACGUGUAAAGAACGUGCUAAUAACUGGAGGUCAAGUCUGGUGCCAGCAUCCGCGGUAAUUCCAGCUCCAGGGGUGUCUAUGAUGAUUGCUGCGAUUAAAAAGUCCGUAGUCAAUCUGACUGACUGACCUGCAAUGUGAUUGAUUAAAGAACGAGCAGGGUUAGGAAAGCAGAGAAUUAGGAGCGACCGAGGGCUAGAGUAUUGAAUGGCGAGAGGUGAAAUUUGAUGACCCAUUCAGGAGUGACAAAGGCGAAGGCACUAGUCAAGGGCGAAUCCGAUGAUCAAGGACGUAGGCUAGAGUUUCGAAAACGAUUAGAGACCGGAGUAGUUCUAGCAGUAAACUAUGCCGACGCCGUGGUAUCAUUUUAGUAUUGCGGAAGAGAAAUCAAGUAACGCUUUGGGGGAGAGUACGCGCGCAAGCCGAUAAGUUUAAAGGAAAUUGACGGGAGGAACACCACAAGGAGUGGAGCUGUG